GACGAACGCUGGCGGUGUGCUUAACACAUGCAAGUCGAACGGUAAGGCCCUUUCGGGGGUACACGAGUGGCGAACGGGUGCGUAACACGUGAGUAACCUGCCCUCAUCUCUGGGAUAACAGUCGGAAACGGUUGCUAAUACUGGAUAUGAGCUUGCAAGGCAUCUUGUGGGUUGGAAAGAUUUUUUUUGGUUGGGGAUGGACUCGCGGCCUAUCAGCUUGUUGGUGAGGUAGUGGCUCACCAAGGCUUCGACGGGUAGCCGGCCUGAGAGGGCGACCGGCCACAUUGGGACUGAGAUACGGCCCAAACUCCUACGGGAGGCAGCAGUGGGGAAUAUUGCACAAUGGACGGAAGUCUGAUGCAGCAACGCCGCGUGCGGGAUGACGGCCUUCGGGUUGUAAACCGCUUUCAAUUGUGACGAAGCUUUUUUGUGACGGUAGCAGUAGAAGAAGCACCGGCCAACUACGUG
rnacentral:rRNA from 1 species